rnacentral:rRNA from 1 species
UGGCGGACGGGUGAGUAACGCGUGGGUAACCUGCCUCAUACAGGGGGAUAACGGUUAGAAAUGACUGCUAAUACCGCAUAAGCGCACAGUACCACAUGGUACGGUGUGAAAAACUCCGGUGGUAUGAGAUGGACCCGCGUCUGAUUAGCUAGUUGGUGGGGUAACGGCCCACCAAGGCGACGAUCAGUAGCCGACCUGAGAGGGUGACCGGCCACAUUGGGACUGAGACACGGCCCAG